rnacentral:rRNA from 1 species
GUUCCAUUAGAUAGUAGGCGGGGUAACGGCCCACCUAGUCUUCGAUGGAUAGGGGUUCUGAGAGGAAGGUCCCCCACAUUGGAACUGAGACACGGUCCAAACUCCUACGGGAGGCAGCAGUGAGGAAUAUUGGUCAAUGGGCGAGAGCCUGAACCAGCCAAGUAGCGUGAAGGAUGACUGCCCUAUGGGUUGUAAACUUCUUUUAUAAAGGAAUAAAGUCGGGUAUGCAUACCCGUUUGCAUGUACUUUAUGAAUAAGGAUCGGCUAACUCCGUGCCAGCAGCCGCGGUAAUACGGAGGAUCCGAGCGUUAUCCGGAUUUAUUGGGUUUAAAGGGAGCGUAGAUGGAUGUUUAAGUCAGUUGUGAAAGUUUGCGGCUCAACCGUAAAAUUGCAGUUGAUACUGGAUAUCUUGAGUGCAGUUGAGGCAGGCGGAAUUCGUGGUGUAGCGGUGAAAUGCUUAGAUAUCACGAAGAACUCCGAUUGCGAAGGCAGCCUGCUAAGCUGCAACUGACAUUGAGGCUCGAAAGUGUGGGUAUCAAACAGGAUUAGAUACCCUGGUAGUCCACACGGUAAACGAUGAAUACUCGCUGUUUGCGAUAUACGGCAAGCGGCCAAGCGAAAGCGUUAAGUAUUCCACCUGGGGAGUAC